UUUUUUUUUUUUUUUUUUUUUUUUUUUUUUUUUUUUUUGGGUGGGAAGGCUGACUGCCUGAGAAGAUGUAUGCAUCUGUUUAGCAUAAAUGCCUCUUGGUGAGAGUAACUCACACUGACCAAUGAUGAGUGCAUAGAGAGAAGCUGCAGUUUCUUCAAACCAUUCACCCAGUGCAGGACCCCACCAGUAAGGCUGUAAUUUAUGACCACCCUUUGUCAUUAAUAAAGCAGGAGGGUUUUUUUAAGACAGGGAGUGGUGUUUAACCAUGAAGGUACCAGCGACUGUCUUAAAAUGUGCCAAGGAAUACACUUUUCUGUGAGAAGCUGAGAAUUUCUUCUGCAUUCAGAAGUAGCAGAAGUACUUGAGAGAAAGCUGCUGUGUUUUUUGGCUCAGCUCUGCUGCGAUGAGCUCUGUUGGUGCAGCCAGACCGACUGGUGGUUAAAAGAGAAAUCUGAUUCAGGACCCACAAGGAUCACCGAGUCCAACUCCCAGCUCCAACACAGAACCUCCCAAAAUCCAAACCCUAUGUCUGAGAGCAAAUGCUUCUUGAACUCCAGCAGCUUGGGGCUGUGACCAUUGCCCCGGGAAGCCUGUUCCAUGCCCACCGUCCUCUGCUGAAGCACCUGUUCCUAAUCCCUGCCCCCCCGACACAGCUCCAUGCCGUCCCCUCGGGCCCUGUCGCUGUCACACAGAGCAGAGCUCGGCGCUGCCCCUCCGCUCCCUGUGAGGAGCUGCGGCCGCCGUGAGGCCUCCCCUCAGCUCCUCUGCUCUGCGCUGAGCAAACCAAGGGACCUCAGCGGCUCCACACACGUAUUGCCCUCCUAACCCCUCCCUGUCUCUUCAUAGUUCUUUUCACCUCCUCCCCUCCUCUUUGCGUUGUCCGGCUGUGCUCCAUGUAAAUAAGUGGGAGGGGAUUGAGAAGGUUCUGGGAGGCCGCGCAGACACCCCGUUGUUUGUUGCAAAGGCUCUGCAGCACUGGGCAUGUGCCGGCAGCAAGGGGCCUGGCAGCAGCGCGGCCUUCAAGAGAAGUUACAGCCUGGCUGCCUGGUCCCUGCGCCUAUUGGUGCAAUCUUUGCCCAGCACAAGUACAAAAAGGCCAGGUGUGGUCGUGCCAGGGCAUUUCUAAUGCCAGCAAUACGAAUAAGAUCACUAGGAAAAGGAUGCCUAACUCUCUGGUACCCCUGAGAUCCAGAGGGGAGAUGAAAGCAAUGCUAAUAACCACAUGGUGGGAGCGUUUCUGCGGGAGAGGACUGAUCUUUUGAGCUCACACAGAAAUGCAGGCAGAAAAAAGCACCAUUAGAGCCAGCCCCAACCGGUGCUGCCUGAACAGCACACGUCCCUUUGCGGCUGCUGCCUUCAUUAGGGGAAGAGCUAUUACCUCCGUUUUUCACGGUGCAGACAAAUCCUUUGCAGAGAGCGCAGUGUCUGGGGUGGAAUAGAUUGCUCAUUGUAAGUCCCAGCUCCUCUCUCUAUUGACAGAGGGGAGCAAGGCAAUUAGUGCAGCUCAGUGUCCAGCUCCCAGGCAGGGAGACGUGGGAUAAAGGGCACCCAGAGAACAGAAAUCUUUCCAGGGAGACUGAUGACCGUGAGCACGACCUGCUGUCUCCUGUUCUACCUGCUCUUUGGCUCCCCAGUAUGUUUUACUGGGCUGCAUUACAGAGCAGAGUGCAUCCUUUCAACAUGCUUCAGUGCGGUGUAUCCCAGGGGUCGUAGCUGGAGAGAAAAGGCCUGGGAUGCUCCAUCGCAGAAUGAUUUGUUUUCUCAGAAGUAGAGGUGUGGAGGGGCCAAGGGAAAGAUCUGGCCUGUGCUCCCUGCCACCGACAGAGAGCAGAGCACUUUUGAUUCCACGCGCCAUGAGUCCCAGCAACCCAGGAAUCACACCCACACUGCUUUGCAGGCCGCUGCCCAUGGUGUCUCUUCUCAGUAGCCAUUUAUCUGCGCCUGGCACCUUGGCAAGCCUGUUCCAUGGGGAUAUGGUGGCUGGCAGCCUGUAAGAGCACCUAGGGCCUGUGCCAGCCCAUGCUGGACUCCCAAACCUGAAAGCAGAACCCUGUGUUGUCAGUGGCUUUCAGCUAGUUGUGAAUGUCAUUGGCAGGCCCAACUGCACUGACAGAUGCGCAUUCCUGUCUGUCAGCUACGGUCGCAUCCACGCUUCAUUUGCAAAUAGUGCCUGAUGCCGACAGCCCCAGACAUGCAGUGAUGUGGCCUUCUGGUCACUUGUGUGGACUGAGUCAGCCUGCAAGGCACCUGCAAGGCUUGUGGCCCCAGCACAGUGGGCAUGCCACUCAGCAGCCUGCUGUGACACUUGAUCCCGACACUUAAUGGACUGCAAGCCAGGGGGAGGGCAACACCAGCACAUACCUGUGCUUAAUGCACUGGGUGCUACCGUAUGUGGUAGCAGCAUUUCUUCAUUUCCAUCCUGUUGCUAUAGAAAUAGGCUGGGCACAUAUGGAAGUUGAAUUAGCCUGACACUAAGUCCUUCUGAAAAGCCAGAUAAUUGAAAUCAUGUCAUGUUCCAGUUUCCUAAUGUCUCUGCUAUCAGUGCAUGUACGAUAAUGCCAACAAGGGCAAGUGUAAAUAAUUAGCUAAUUGAGUAUUGCUUCAGAGUGCCUUUCAUUUAUUCAUUCUUUUUUCUUUAUUUCCUCCUUUCUCAGCUGUGCAUUCUUCUUAAAAUAGCAUUGCCCAUGGAGCACCAUCCAAAUUAGGAGAGGGGAAAAGUUAUUCUUUAAGCUUUGUCACUGUCUCUGAACUUUGCUCUGAAUUGUGUAGAUUUUAAAUUCACUAUUUCCUAAACUGAUUUUUUUUUUCUUUACAAGAAUCUCCAUAGCUAAACGAUCUUGGAAAUGGAAUGUGGUAUUAGAAGUACAAAUACAGCCUAUACACAGGAAAAUAUAUUUUCCCCUGACCAUAAUUAUCUUACAUGCUUCUGGCACUCAGGUUAGCUAAUAUGCUUUUGGUUAUGAGACACUAGAUACCAAACAUGGUUUUAAUAUGAUUUUAAUUGGCACGUCCCCUUGAAAGACUGUUCUGCUUGUGUGUCUGCAUCCAAGCAGUCCUUUGUAAAACAUAGGUGGGCAGCAACACUGCCAUCUCUAGACUCCUGUGUACAACGCCCUUGCAUCUCCUUCUUUCACACAGUGUAACAUGAAUGUGAGCUACAGCUGUGAGCCUUCAUUGAGAUAUUGCUGCUUUGUACAUCUGUGCCCUUCUAUAUGCACAGAUUCAGCUUCUAACACGUACUAGUACCUAGAAAUAUCUGUAGUGGCACUGAUAUGUAGGAAAGUGAGGAUAGUUUGGGGAGGUGGUACUGUGGAGCUUUGCGACUGAAAUCUGCUUUUUCCCUGUUGAUCUCUCUCUUUUGCUUCUGAAAAUCUUAACAUUUUUACCCUCUUUCUAGGAAACUGCUGAUCAUGUAGGAGAAUGCUGUUCAGUAGCAUCAGACUCUUGCUAAUAACUUUUCCAGGUGUUUCACAGUACAUUCCCUGUGUAAGGAGGUCAUUUUCAUCAGCUGUUAGCAGGUGGACGCACUUGGGAGAAUGGCUUUGACCAAGAUCAUGCAGCAAAUUAUCAGGCAG
rnacentral:lncRNA from 1 species